rnacentral:lncRNA from 1 species
GUUGUGAAUUGAUCAACAAAGAAUUGAUCACUUUUAGUAAAAAGAGAUAACAUCCUAUGUAUUCUUUUCUCUUGAUAAACUCAGAAAGACUUUGACCAAAGUAAAUGAAUGUUAGAUAAGGAUUCUAGUACUUCAUUAGAAUUAUCAUUGAUUGAUAAAGAAUCAACAAGAAUGUGUUAAGUUUGAUAUGAUUCCGUACUCAUAAAUAUAUUCAAGAUGCAGGAUGAUCA